AUAAAAGAAGACAGGGAGGGAAGGAAGAGAAUUGAAGAAGGCAAUCGAACUAAACUAGGACUUGAGAAUGGCAUUUUAAGAACAGGUGAAGGAACAAGACAAGAACAAUGAAACGAGACAGAGGGAGAUUUUGUCAGAAGCUGAGCCCUGACUUCAGGACACAUGAGGUGCAGGACCAGAGUCGCCCCUAAUCAGCUAGGCAGAUUGUGCUGUGUUAUUCCACUUAUGAAACAGCAAUUGCAGAUCCUAUUGUGGCCUUCUCGGGAGAAUAACUGCUUCAGGCUUUGGGGAUAGUUAAUUUUAUUGUAAAAUUUACACGGAUUGGGCAUAAGGUUGCCCCAUGAACAAAGAGAGAUCUGGUGAAUCAAUACAAAGGAGUUAUAUGGUGCCAUUUAAAAAAGCAAACAAGAUAUGACAUUCCCUGAAUUCAGGGAUGUUUUCUGAUAUGUUCUCAUCUCUAUUUCUAGCUCGUAGCUUCGAAAUGUCUCUGACUGCAUCUCGGCUGCUUCCCUUCACCCCUGAUCUCCUCACACUCAUCCACCUAGAUCCUGAAACUGGAGGGACCUGCACUACUUCGUAGUCUGUUUGUUCUGCUUAUCCGGGUGAAGAUGGAACUGGACAAAAGAAUACCUAGGGGUGGACCACUUGGUGCCACACUUCUUCUUCUGUGUCUCCAUCAUAUAGCAAUGGCUGUGACUCAUCCCGAUGAUUGGGAUCAAUUACGCCUGCAACAGUGCCCUUUUUUGUUUCUUCAUCCACUGGUCUACAGACUUGCAGAGCCCAGGAUGAACUAAUAGCAACCAUGGCUUUACAUUUAGUGAGAAUUAGGUGGAACACAGGCCUUCAAGAAGAGUCUUCCCACAAAGAAGAAGAACAUCUAGACACACAGAGCCUAAAUAUUCAUGCAGAACUUCACCAGCACAAACACCCUGCUGGAAUUGGUGGCAAAGACUAUUCUGCACAGUUUUUGUCUUGAGAAAAUUGAGGUUGCAUAGAAUAUGGCAAACUGGACAAGUGCUUCACUGAUUGUUGCAAAAAAGAUAUGUUAACUAUUCUGCAAGUAUAUACUUUAUAUAUAUGAUUUCAGUAUGAUCAGUUACUCAAAUUCUCAUUAUUUUUGUUUACUUGAUUUUUGAAAGAGCACUGUGUAAAAGGCCCU
rnacentral:lncRNA from 1 species